AACUUAAUUAUUAUAGUAUAUGAUAAGAUGGUUUUUUAAUUGCGACAGUGACGAUUGCCUCUUCCGACAUUAUGGUCACUUAUAUUUAAAGGACACUGUUAAUUAAGGCGUUUUCGUUUGAAUAGAACGUUCGUGCUUGGGCCCUUUCUUGUAUUUAUAAAGCUGUCAAUUUCCAAGCCAUUUCGGGGUAAAGUGGAAAGGCGCAGAUGCGAAGAUGGUCGUAACUGAGGAAAAAACCGCGGACCGUCGCGAGCUGAGCUUGUCGGCGUGGGUUCUGUACCGAUAUUAAAUCUGAUGUGAAGCCGGCACAGUUCGCCUCCGUAAUUAUAUGUGGAGGCUUAACGAACAAAACCAGACGGUUAGGGGCCCUCGGAACUUAACGAAUGCGCUAUGCGACAAGCAUUUGUGUCAAGAGAAAAUUGUUUUCUUUAAAACUACACAAGGCAAAUUGUUGCCCAGAUUAUACACACUACUGUUGAUAACUGGAGUAAACCGGCCCGCGCAGGUACCACCAUUGCCUAUUUCAGCCUUCCUCUAAGCGAAAAAGUGCAAGUACAAUAAAACAUGAUCAAUCAAUCAACUAGUAGGUGAGCUCACGGGUAUCAAGCCUGACGUCAUUGCUAACACAGAUCCUAGCAAGAACUUCGCAGAAUCUACCACCGGAUCGGAAACGCGAAUCACUGAGAAGAUCCGUCGUGAAACUCAGUGGGCUGUGUCUGUGGGUUAAUUUACUCGCCGAACCCUUCGUCGCAAGCGACGGGUUCAACGAGAAGGAUGACCGGCGCUUGAGGUAUGUAUCUAAAAGCACCCUAAGUGGAUCGGGAGGAUCCGAAAGGACGUAUUUUGGGUGACGUCGACUGUUUACCAUUCGGUCCGCAGGAUCGGGAAUGUAAAUUUUGAACAAGAAAUACCCGAA